GCCCUCUCCUCCAGCACCCAGUCGCCAUCCACCUGCCAGCAGGCCCUCUCCAGCACGCAGGCCCUCUCCCCCUGCCAGCAGGCCCUCUCCAGCACGCAGGCCCUCUCCCCCUGAGGAAGAGUAUGUUUUGGGGGAAUUUUUGUUACAUUUAAAUACAAUACUAGGUUAGUCAGAUGAUAAAUCACACUUAUGGUGUUGCAUGUAUUUUUGUGCCCUAUUUAGCAAGUUGAGAAAUAGCAUUCAGCAGUCAGUUAGUCCUUGCAUCCAGAGCUACGUAAAUGGAUUUGAGUGAUAGUACCAAAACUUGGGUUUUGAGAAAUUUAGUAUGAUGGGACUGGAGUUAUUUAACGUUACGAUUAAGGAUUGUAACUUUAUCAAUAUACAAAACGUGCACACUGGCAGAGGUGGAUGAUGAGGAGUUGCGUGCAAUCUAUAUGGGUAUGUAUGACGGUGCACACUGCUGUUUGAAGUGUUGUACUAAAACAUGCUCUUCAUUGGCAGCCUCUAACUCUAUUGGUGAUGCAUUGUGUGACAGAUACCAAGCCCAGAAGCGGCACCUUCAAGCUUAGCGUCAGUUUCAUAUCAACAUAGCCCAAGCAGUGACGAGGCAGCAAUGUUUGUAUUCUGUUGAUUUUGGAUAGCAAGUGGCUGUCCUUGUAUUGUAAAAUGUCACACUUAACAGUGAUUCUGCUUUGUUAACAAUGCAAUAUGGUUGAGGUGACUAAGUUCCAUUUUGAAUAUCAAAUUCCUAAUUGUACUUCUCAAUCACAGUUCAAACGGACUAAAUGACUCAGUGGUGGAUCAUAGUGUAGUCUCAGGUAUUUGUGGAGAAUUGCAUUCUGUAAUUUGUUUGUCAUCUAUGCUAAUGAUCACAUUUGCUAUUUUAAAAAAGGUUUAAAGAGGGUCUAAUGACCCUUGGUGUCCUCGUUACGUUACAGUCCAGCACCGCCGCAAUGAGGAACGAAGAGGAGUUAGUGGUGGGCUUCUGGAAGGACUGGCUGAUCGAUGUCGAAGAACAGCCAAAACAGCAUCAUCACGGACAGCAGAAGUCUUCGCAUCGACCAUUCUGGAAUCACGCCCCGAGAAGACACUUGUUUUUCCUUAUGUCUUGAAGAUAUGUUGUAUCAUGUGAUUACACUAACAGAUGUGCCACUCUCAAUGUCAUUGUUGUGUCACUAAGAUAUCCUGGCAUUUCCAACCUGUAGUGCGUGAUCUUUGAAAUCUUAAAAAGAAACAGGAUAUAAAAAAAUGAAUUUGUUAUUCCACAAAGAAAUAUGGGGUAUGUUCAACCCAUCAUUUUACAAUAAUGAAGGAGUUCAGCACUGAUUAUGUCAGUGUGGUUAUGUUGACCCAUAUACCCACACUGCAGACAAUAAUGUUUUUGCUUGGUCAUUUGUCUGCUUGGAGGGGAAUAUGUCUGCCAAGUGAAUGUUGCUAAAGUAAGAAAUAUCGAUGCCGUUUAUCUUUAAGGAAGGGAGUCGAUCAGUUUAUCACCAGCCUCCUGUCCCUACACCCUUUACAGAACUGUUAUGUAACGGUCGUAAAUUGUUGCAUUUAGUCCUUGUUAUUGCUAGAAGGGAUACAUUUGAAGUUUACUGAGUUAGAUCAAAUGGUACAACGUUUAUAAUGAAUGUAAACCACUAUGGAAUUUAUGCAUCUCCACAGAAGUGAUAUUUCCUUUUGCCGUAGCUCUUUGCCUUGGCUUUUGUUGUUAAGCAGGACAAUUUUUAGCUCUGUUGUUGUAUCUUUUUGAGGAGUUAAAGUUUGCAAAAGUAAAAAAAGUUGGAACAAACAUUGAAGUACUAUUACAAAAAGGUAACAUGUAUGCAGUAAGAUGUUUCCUUUGGUUUUUGUUCAUACCACAAAAAGGUCACUAUUACAGUUGUAAUGUUGUAAACCUACUGUAAUCCAGUCCUUGUAUUUGUACAGAAAUACUCAAAUUGCAUGUUUCACUAGGGACAUAUAAUUGUGCUUGGAAGCCCUGUGAACAACCAUUGUAAUGCCAGCAUACCCAGAGUAUUUCAACUAAAGUAUGUCAGACCUCAGUUCUUAUAAGCAUAAGUAAUCUAACGUAAAGAGGGAUGUUACAACAGUGAGGAAUGAUAUUCAAUGCACAAAUGUGAAGAGAGCUACAUUUCUAGGACAUAGCUGAGGGAAGCCAAUUCUUUGUCAGAUUGGUGCCAGAGCUGACAUGUCCACUAAUCCCGAGCAGGAUCAAUCUAAUCCCAGAGAAUGAGUUCACGCCCUUGACAGAGCACUAGAAAACACACCAACCCUCCUGAAU
rnacentral:lncRNA from 13 species